rnacentral:rRNA from 1 species
UACAGAGGCCUCGAGCGUUAGGCGGAAUCACUGGGCUUAAAGCGUGUGUAGGCGGAUGUCUAAGUGCUUCGUGAAAUCCCACGGCUCAACCGUGGAACGGCUUGGCAUACUGGAUGUCUUGAGCGGUCUAGGGGCGAGCGGAACAGAUGGUGGAGCGGUGAAAUGCGUAGAUAUCAUCUGGAACGCCUAUGGUGAAAACAGCUCGCUGGGGACCUGCUGACGCUGAGACACGAAAGCCAGGGGAGCGAACGGG